AAUUAAUCUCUAAUAAUUACAAAGGUCUUAACUACAGAAAAUUUUAAAAUACAAUUAUUGGAAAUCCAAAGAUUUUAUUUUGACAAUAUUAAUUAUGAUGAUGAGUUUUACGUGAAUUCUAUGAUAAUCAAUAGUUAUAAUACCGCAUGAGAUGCCGGAGAUUGUUCCACAUAUUGCUGAUUUUGAUCCAGAGAUGAAUUAGUGGGGUUUGGUGGUAUUAAUUUGUCAACAUUAUACUUGACAUGAUAUUGGCUGCAAUGUUUUUGGGUUCUUUCUCAGCAGCACUAGUGUUGGGUUCUCUUGAAUUUGAGCUCUAAUUGCGUGAUUGGUGAGAUU
rnacentral:misc_RNA from 1 species